CUUUUUAUGUUUCCCCCAAAACAAGCCCUAACGAUCUUCCAUUGCUAAGAAUCUGCGCCUCUCUCUCCUCGGAGAUGAAUCGAUUUCACUCCGUCCCUCUUCAUCAUACGUCCCCACGGGUUCUCAUCCUCCCGUUAGCCAUCGUAAUCACUUAUCACCACACAUACCCAUUCCCUGGUGUUGGAAUCGAUUGCAGCUCUCCACGACUCGUUAAUCUUUACCCCAUUCCCACAAACGAAGAAAGACUCCUUCCUCUCUUUCAACGUUGGGUGAAAACCUCUCUCUCUUUACAAUCCCCACCUGUUCUCUCUUUACGUCGGGUGAAAACUCUCUCUCUGGCCAAGUUCGAGUCGCCCCAUGGCCACGCCGCAGCCCUGGUCGGGGCGAUCCACCUCUCUUCGCGAGUCCGGCGACUAACAUUCAACUCACUGAGUUGGAGAAGCUCGAAGGCACUCGUAGCUGGGAGACCCUCGAAUGGACCAAGAUCGAGCUGGCUCCGAGGUCUGUUUCUGAAGGGUUGCUAGGGGUUUUGCUUGAAGCGGAAAAGGUCAUAGUAGAGGUAUGUAUUUAUACACGUACUCUUCAAGAAUGCUAUCAUUAUUCGAUUAUUGUGUGUAAUUGGUAAGAAUCCUGGUUCACUUUCAGGUAAAUCGUGAAUGAUCUUAGUGCAUACUGAAGAUUAUAAACAGUAGUGGACGAAUCUUGAAGUUCCAAUAUGUUUCUUUCGUGUGGAGAAUAAUUGUCGACGUCUAGACCAAUUCAGACCUUGAGCUGCUUGUGAGCAGCUUACCUAGAUCUGCCUAGCAAGAAUAUUCUAGGCCUUGGAGCUGCUUGUAAGCAGCUAAAGACCUUUGAGCUGCUCACAAGCAGCUUAUCUAGACCUGCCCAGCAAGAACAUUCUAGGCCUUUGAGCUGCUUGUGAGCAGUUUGUCCAGACCUGCCUAGCAAGAACAUUCUAGACCUUUGAGCUGCUUGUGAGCAGCUUAAGGCCCCUUUCUUGCUCAUAAAAGGCUUUAAAUGAUGUUCUUAAAGCAGCGGGCCUAUUUCAUCAAUUAGGCCUGAACUUGUGGUAAAUCAUGGGCCUUUGUCCAUUGUAAGCCUUUUGAGCCCAAGCCUGAUGAGAAAACCAAGGCUCCUGCCGAUUUGGGCUUACUUCGCAGGCCUUGUUACUAGGAAUUUGGGUUAGGCCUGGACGAAAUACUCAAGCCUAGUGGACUAAUUCAAGCUUUGGGCCUUUAACUGAUUUGGGCCUUUAUGGAAGGCCCAACAUUUCUUAAGAACCGGCCCUAAUUUGUAGGCAAUUGGUCGUAAGGUCUUUUAAGGUUAGAGCCUCGACCCUCAAGGCCACCUUUUAGCCCGUAAAUUCAUUUUCUGGUUUUUGGGCCAAAAAUGGGUGUAAACACUAGUAUAAAAUUUAGCAUUUAUACUACUAAGAAUAUCACCGUCACAUCAUUAUAGUAUACAGAAAUAGGUGUUAUUUAUUGUUCGUAACUCAUUUACCAAGAAAAAUGUUCAACAACAAGAAGCUUUGUGGAUUUCCAUAUGUAGAAUUAGGCCCCGUUUCGCUAAGGUUCUUAUUUUUAAUAUAUACUUAUUUUCUACUUUACACAAUAGGUCAUUAUCUCAGAAUAUAUCACAUUUAAUUCAAAAAAAUAAGUAUUUAUUUCUCUCAGCAAGACGGGGCCUAACUAAAUAUGGAAAUACAUACUAAAAUGUAGUUAAUACUGACCACAAAAGAGUACGUUAUGAGGGGGUGGUUGCUCUUUGGUUGGGACAGGAUCAACAUCAUAUAUUCUUACAUGUAUAUCUCUUGGCCUAAAUACCAGUUUUCCAAAUGUUGUGAUCUCAAGUUCCACAUUUCUGGAUUCUCAAGAUACACAUAAACCAUAGUCCAACGACCUGGGUACACCUGAUCACAUUUAUAUAAACUAAUUUAACCUAGCUAGUGGUAAAAUACCCAUAACCAUGACCAAAUAAGAGUGUGUGUGUGGGUAAGAGAGAAGAUAUUACCUGAACAAUGGAGCCGACAACAGGGUCACAAAAAUUAUACGUGUAACGCAAUUUAGGCGCCCAUUUCCCAUCACCAAACCUAUAGUAAUUAAGUAUAUACAGAUCAACAUGAACACCACAUUGCAUUUGGAUCUUGAAUUUUUCUAGUACUAAUAGAAAGCGAAAUGAAUUUACUUUGCAAGACUUUUUUUAUGAGAAAGUAGAAUAAUUUAAGAAAAAUUCUUUAAAAAUUAAUAUGAAUUCUUUUCUCUUAUGUUCUUAAAGCGCGCAACCACCACAUAUGGUAAUGUCUUCUUAUUGAAUCUUGCUAUUGUCAGCCCAAUGGGCUGACGAUAAGUACACUAGAAAACAAUGAAAACACGUGAUUCUGUAUACUUUUUGUACCAUUUAAUACACAUUCACACAUUUUUUAUUGUCAGUCUAUUGGGCUGAUUUUAGAAUUUUCCUCUCAUGCUAUACAAAAGAAAAACACAUAAAAAAAGAUCGGGUAUUUUGACUACACUGUGCAUCCAAACAUUAUUGUUUCGAUGCCACUCCUUGAGGGACAACAUGUGUGUUGGUCCCAUCUGAGCCAUUCAUUUCAGCAAUGAAUGGCUCACAUUUUAUUUCAGCCGAACAGAUCUCAACCUUCCAUUCAUUCAUUGCUGAGAUGAAAUCUGAGCUAUUCGUUGCCAAACAUGAACAGCCCGGAUGGGCCAAUAUACACAUGUUGUUCGCUAACGGACAGCAGGCUACCCAUUUGGUUUUACAAGCACGUGAUUUGAUCCUGGUUUGUCAACAUUGUUGAAAUAUUCUUUUUAAGGCUUUUUCCAAAUAAAAAAAGUUAUUGUCCAGCUAGGCCAAGGUUAAAAAUGAAUGGAACUUACCCAACAGCAUAGAAACCGAAUCCAUCCAAAUGCCAAGAGUCCAUCACAUCCAAACCAUUCCUGAACACAAUCUCCAGCCACCCCCUGUGGAUCCCGGUGACAACAAAAGUCCCAUUGACGCCCACCGGAUUGCUAAAAUUCACAGGAAAUUCGUCGAUUUGGUACACGCCAGAUCCAUUGAGGGAGUAGUCGGCCAGCUUGAGUGGUGUUGCCGGAGUAAGAUAAGACACAUUGUUGACGGUGUAACGUAGAGCGCCGUUGAUUUGAACCGUUGAUCCUUAUAGAAUGAAGGUUUGUAAUACUUUCACGUUUGAUAUGUCAAAUGUUCCUUGUGGGUUGGGACUCGCAGCCCCUGCGAUCAAGGGGACUCUUACAAGCUGGCCCCGUUUGUCCCCCUUCACCUGUAUAGGCCCACCCCGUGUCAAAUCUAUCCCACAUAAGUCCCAUUUUAAGUGAACUUUCCCAAAUACCCCACUUUAUUACUCCUUCGAUUCCGUACGGUGACUCACCGAAGCGAUCGCCCCUUCAUCAUCGUCGAAUGGAUCAUCAAGACCUAAUUCAUCUGUUGGUUCCAAUCAACGUCUCACCCCUCUCGAUGUCUUCCGAGGUCUCACUGUUGCUGUACUCUCUCUCCACCUCCGAAUCGGCCAUGGACAAGAGUAAGUAGUAGCAGAGUUUCAAAUCUACCAAAGAAAAAGCAGGGAAUACGACGUGAGCAGAUGAAGAAGAUGACGACGACGAUGAAGAAUCGGACGAAGUUGACAAUGGCAGUGAUGACUGUGGCGGUGUGGGGUUCUAGAUCUAUCGUUCAAGGGUUCUUGUUUGUUACGGAGUACUUUUUUAGUUAUGUCCUUUUUUUGACCUCUGGUUGUCUGUGAGGGUUCGUGAUGUUUUUCGAUUCCGAUAUGUGAAAAAAGAAGAUUCAGUGAAUUGAUAUUCUAUACCAGUAACGGAGAAAGACUAGGUAGAACAAAGUGAGCAUUUUUUUACCUCUAGUUCUCUGGUAUAGCAACUCAGUGAAUCACCGAAAACAUCCUAGAAAAUUAUUUGUGGAA